UAACUGACGCCGAGGAGCGAAAGGGUGGGGAGCAAACAGGCUUAGAUACCCUGGUAGUCCACCCCGUAAACGUUGGGAACUAGUUGUGGGGUCCAUUCCACGGAUUCCGUGACGCAGCUAACGCAUUAAGUUCCCCGCCUGGGGAGUACGGCCGCAAGGCUAAAACUCAAAGGAAUUGACGGGGACCCGCACAAGCGGCGGAGCAUGCGGAUUAAUUCGAUGCAACGCGAAGAACCUUACCAAGGCUUGACAUAUACGAGAACGCUGCAGAAAUGUAGAACUCUUUGGACACACGUAAACAGGUGGUGCAUGGUUGUCGUCAGCUCGUGUCGUGAGAUGUUGGGUUAAGUCCCGCAACGAGCGCAACCCUCGUUCUAUGUUGCCAGCACGUAAUGGUGGGAACUCAUGGGAUACUGCCGGGGUCAACUCGGAGGAAGGUGGGGAUGACGUCAAAUCAUCAUGCCCCUUAUGUCUUGGGCUUCACGCAUGCUACAAUGGCCGGUACAAAGGGCUGCAAUACCGUAAGGUGGAGCGAAUCCCAAAAAGCCGGUCCCAGUUCGGAUUGAGGUCUGCAACUCGACCUCAGAAGUCGGAGUCGCUAGUAAUCGCACGU
rnacentral:rRNA from 1 species